GACGAACGCUGGCGGCGUGCCUAAUACAUGCAAGUAGAACGCUGAAGGAGGAGCUUGCUUCUCUGGAUGAGUUGCGAACGGGUGAGUAACGCGUAGGUAACCUGCCUGGUAGCGGGGGAUAACUAUUGGAAACGAUAGCUAAUACCGCAUAAGAGUAGAUGUCGCAUGACAUUUGCUUAAAAGGUGCAAUUGCAUCACUACCAGAUGGACCUGCGUUGUAUUAGCUAGUUGGUGAGGUAACGGCUCACCAAGGCAACGAUACAUAGCCGACCUGAGAGGGUGAUCGGCCACACUGAGACUGAGACACGGCCCAGACUCCUACGGGAGGCAGCAGUAGGGAAUCUUCGGCAAUGGACGGAAGUCUGACCGAGCAACGCCGCGUGAGUGAAGAAGGUUUUCGGAUCGUAAAGCUCUGUUGUAAGAGAAGAACGAGUGUGAGAGUGGAAAGUUCACACUGUGACGGUAUCUUACCAGAAAGGGACGGCUAACUACGUG
rnacentral:rRNA from 1 species